rnacentral:rRNA from 1 species
CGGGUUGUAAAGCACUUUCAGUCGUGAGGAAGGUGGUAGUGUUAAUAGCACUAUCAUUUGACGUUAGCGACAGAAGAAAGCACCGGCUAACUCCGUGCCAGCAGCCGCGGUAAUACGGAGGGUGCGAGCGUUAAUCGGAAUUACUGGGCGUAAAGCGCAUGCAGGUGGUUUGUUAAGUCAGAUGUGAAAGACCCGGGGCGUCAACCUCGGAAUAGCAUUUGAAACUAGGCAGACUAGAGUACUGUAGAGGGGGGUAGGAAUUUCAGGUGUAGCGGUGAAAUGCGUAGAGAUCUGAAGGAAUACCGGUGGCGAAGGCGGCCCCCUCGGACAGAUACUGACACUCAGAUGCGAAAGCGUGGGGAGCAAACAGGAUUAGAUACCCUGGUAG